CCUACGGGAGGCAGUAGUGAGGAAUAUUGGUCAAUGGCCGGGAGUCUGAACCAGCCAAGUCGCGUGAGGGAAGACGGCCCUACGGGUUGUAAACCUCUUUUGUCAGGGAGCAAGGUGCAGGUGGGGACCUGCUGUGAGAGUACCUGAAGAAAAAGCAUCGGCUAACUCCGUGCCAGCAGCCGCGGUAAUACAGGGGAUGCGAGCGUUAUCCGGAUUUAUUGGGUUUAAAGGGUGGGCGGGGUGAGUCACACGUCAGCGGUAAAAUCGCGUGGCUCAACCCCGCUCCGCCGUUGAAACUGUGUCCCUUGAGUGCGCGAAGGGUAGGCGGAAGGCGUGGUGUAGCGGUGAAAUGCAUAGAUAUCACGCAGAACUCCGAUCGCGAAGGCAGCCUACCGGCGCGCAACUGACGCUCAUGCACGAAAGCGUGGGUAUCGAACAGGAUUAGAUACCCGGGUAGUC
rnacentral:rRNA from 1 species